UGGGGAAUAUUGCACAAUGGGCGCAAGCCUGAUGCAGCCAUGCCGCGUGUAUGAAGAAGGCCUUCGGGUUGUAAAGUACUUUCAGCGGGGAGGAAGGGAGUAAAGUUAAUACCUUUGCUCAUUGACGUUACCCGCAGAAGAAGCACCGGCUAACUCCGUGCCAGCAGCCGCGGUAAUACGGAGGGUGCAAGCGUUAAUCGGAAUUACUGGGCGUAAAGCGCACGCAGGCGGUUUGUUAAGUCAGAUGUGAAAUCCCCGGGCUCAACCUGGGAACUGCAUCUGAUACUGGCAAGCUUGAGUCUCGUAGAGGGGGGUAGAAUUCCAGGUGUAGCGGUGAAAUGCGUAGAGAUCUGGAGGAAUACCGGUGGCAAAGGCGGCCCCCUGGACGAAGACUGACGCUCAGGUGCGAAAGCGUGGGGAGCAAACA
rnacentral:rRNA from 1 species